CAGUAGCCGCGGGAAUACGAAGGGGGCUAGCGUUGCUCGGAAUGACUGGGCGUAAAGGGCGCGUAGGCGGCGAUCAAAGUCAGGCGUGAAAUUCCUGGGCUCAACCUGGGGGCUGCGCUUGAUACUUGGUUGCUUGAGUGGGGAAGAGGGUCGUGGAAUUCCCAGUGUAGAGGUGAAAUUCGUAGAUAUUGGGAAGAACACCGGUGGCGAAGGCGGCGACCUGGUCCUUGACUGACGCUGAGGCGCGAAAGCGUGGGGAGCAAACAGGAUUAGAUACCCGGGUAGUCCCUGUCUCUUAUAC
rnacentral:rRNA from 1 species